rnacentral:rRNA from 1 species
CCUACGGGAGGCAGCAGUGAGGAAUAUUGGUCAAUGGGCGGGAGCCUGAACCAGCCAAGCCGCGUGAGGGAAGAAGGUACAGCGUAUCGUAAACCUCUUUUGUCAGGGAACAAAGGCGGGGACUAGUCCCCGGAUGAGGGUACCUGAAGAAAAAGCAUCGGCUAACUCUGUGCCAGCAGCCGCGGUAAUACGGAGGAUGCGAGCGUUAUCCGGAUUUAUUGGGUUUAAAGGGUGCGCAGGCGGCCUGUUAAGUCAGCGGGAAAAGCCCGGGGCUCAACCCCGGCGAGCCGUUGAAACUGGCGGGCUGGAGUGGGAGAGAGGUACGCGGAAUGCGCGGUGUAGCGGUGAAAUGCUUAGAUAUCGCGCAGAACCCCGAUUGCGAAGGCAGCGUACCGGCUCCACACUGACGCUGAGGCACGAAAGCGUGGGUAUCGAACAGGAUUAGAUACCCGAGUAGUC